UGUACAGAUAUAUACAACUCUGAGCUCAUGCCAAAAAUGUCUGUGACUGCCUUGUGAUAGUUUUGGAGCGGGUGAUGUGCUCCAAAGAGAUGAAAAUACCUGGAAAGAUUCUGUGGACCAGUCAACUCUGAGCCAACUUGAGGAUAUGGGGGCAAGAGUCCAAAAGGAAAAGAGAGAGAGAGAGAGAGAGAGAGAUGGAUUCUUCUAAAUUUUGUGCAACACCCAUUAACACCCAUGUAAACAGGGUUUAGCAUUUAAACACAUAGCAUGGUGCAUCAAGGUUGGUGAAAAGAUGGUGUACAGCUUUGGAACCUCCCUGUUGACUCAGUGGUUAAGAAUCCACCUGCCAAUGCAGGGGACACGGGUUCGAGCCCUGGUCCAGGAAGAUCCCACAUGCCGCGGAGCAACUAAGCCCGUGCGCCACAACUACUGAGCCCGAGUGCCACAACGACUGAAGCCCGCGUGCCUAGAGUCCGUGCUCUGCAACAAGAGAAGCCACCACGAUGAGAAGCCCGCGCACCGCAACGAAGAGUAGCCCCUGCUCGCUGCAACUAGAGAAAGCCAUGCAGCAAUGAAGACC